AAUCUCUUAAAGGGCAUCUUGGUUCGGAUCGCAGUCUGCAACUCGACUGCGUGAAGGUGGAGUCGCUAGUAAUCGCAGAUCAGCAUUGCUGCGGUGAAUACGUUCUCGGGCCUUGUACACACCGCCCGUCACGUCACGAAAGUUGGUAACACCCGAAGCCUGUGGCCUAACCUUUUUGGGGGGGAGUGGUCGAAGGUGGGGCUAGCGAUUGGGACGAAGUCGUAACAAGGUAGCCGUACCGGAAGGUGCGGCUGGAUCACCUCCUUU
rnacentral:ncRNA from 1 species